AGCCUAGAAGAGAACUUACUUCUUCCACUUUCCUGUAGUUUAAUUUCUAACUGCAUUCUAUAGGAAAGUGGAAGCAGUAAGUUCUCUUCUAGGUUCU
rnacentral:miRNA from 1 species